rnacentral:lncRNA from 1 species
AAGCGUGUCUCUGUCAAGCUCAAUCAGGCUCUCACAGGCUAUAAUCAAAGCAACUGGGUCUAACUGGUCCGACAACCAAAACUCAUGUGCCCUAGGCACAAUUCGAUACAAAAACAACAAUUUGGGUCCACCAUCAACCGCGACGGCACUCGACAGUUCGAACAGUCUACACACUACUGUAAAAUAAGCUCGGCAUCCCAGCACGAGCGUAAACUCAUCCUACACUAAUUUAGGUAUCCAUCUCAUACUAACAG